UCGGGCUGCGAAUUCUCCUGUCUCCAUCGACUUCAUGAGGCACGAAAUCUGAGGGUGCCGUAUGAAUCAGGCGGCCUUUCUAAUGCACACCAGCUGUGUCAUGUGCCUCCAGCAGGGAGGCAAGCUCUCAUGUGUCCCCAAUGCUUCAGACUCUGCUCUUGUUGGUACCCUGCUCGCUGAGAAGGACCCUAUCGCCUGUAGAUAGGACCGCUGCUAGGAAGCUAUCAAAUGGAUCCCAAGAAUGUUGUCAUUCUGACCCAACUCAUUCAAAUUCACUUAUCUGACGAUAAAAACCAUAGCCGGAAUGCACCAGCUGUACAGAAGAAGAUAAAUAGUUCAGAUGUCUAUUUGGAAACACUGUGGGCCUUGGCAAAACUCUAGAAUAUUUGUGGCUCCCAAAUCAACAAUCAAGUUCUUCUAUGCAUGAACUCUGGCAGAAAGCUAACCAACAGAAAGAGGCCUAAAUAGCAGAGUAUCAAAAGGAAAAUAGACAGGUGAGGGUGCAGUGUUGGUCAUCAAAGGAUUUUGCGGUGGAACUAAACAAUCCAAAUCAAAGCAAAGACCUCCAAGAAGCCCAGACUGGACAGCAGGCUUCCCAGUUUACAGAGUCAUCUACCUUAAAUUGACCAGAUGAGCUGAGCCCUGGCCCAGGGCACCGCAUCCACAAGGUAGCCUGCCC